rnacentral:rRNA from 1 species
UACGGGGGGGGCAAGCGUUGUUCGGAAUUACUGGGCGUAAAGGGCUCGUAGGUGGCCAACUAAGUCAGACGUGAAAUCCCUCGGCUUAACCGGGGAAUGGCGUCCGAUACUGGAUGGCUUGAGUUUGGGAGAGGGAUGCGGAAUUCCAGGUGUAGCGGUGAAAUGCGUAGAUAUCUGGAGGAACACCGGUGGCGAAGGCGGCAUCCUGGACCAACACUGACGCUGAGGAGCGAAAGCCAGGGGAGCAAACGGG